GACGAGCGCUGGCGGCGUGCUUAACACAUGCAAGUCGAACGGAAAGGCCCUGCUUUUGUGGGGUGCUCGAGUGGCGAACGGGUGAGUAACACGUGAGUAACCUGCCCUUGACUUUGGGAUAACUUCAGGAAACUGGGGCUAAUACCGGAUAGGAGCUCCUGCUGCAUGGUGGGGGUUGGAAAGUUUCGGCGGUUGGGGAUGGACUCGCGGCUUAUCAGCUUGUUGGUGGGGUAGUGGCUUACCAAGGCUUUGACGGGUAGCCGGCCUGAGAGGGUGACCGGCCACAUUGGGACUGAGAUACGGCCCAGACUCCUACGGGAGGCAGCAGUGGGGAAUAUUGCACAAUGGGCGGAAGCCUGAUGCAGCAACGCCGCGUGCGGGAUGACGGCCUUCGGGUUGUAAACCGCUUUCGCCUGUGACGAAGCGUGAGUGACGGUAAUGGUAAAGAAGCACCGGCUAACUACGUG
rnacentral:rRNA from 1 species